rnacentral:rRNA from 1 species
AUUGAACGCUGGCGGAAUGCUUUACACAUGCAAGUCGAACGGCAGCACGGACUUCGGUCUGGUGGCGAGCGGCGAACGGGUGAGUAAUGUAUCGGAACGUGCCCAGUCGUGGGGGAUAACGUAGCGAAAAUUACGCUAAUACCGCAUACGAUCUAUGAAUGAAAGCGGGGGAUCGCAAGACCUCGCGCAGUUGGAGCAGCCGAAAUCAGAUUAGUUAGUUGGUGGGGUAAAGGCCCACCAAGCCAACGAUCCUGAGCUGGUCUGAGAGGACGACCAGCCACACUGGAACUGAGACACGGUCCAGACUCCUACGGGAGGCAGCAGUGGGGAAUUUUGGACAAUGGGCGAAAGCCUGAUCCAGCCAUUCCGCGUGCAGGAUGAAGGCCCUCGGGUUGUAAACAGCUUUUGUACAGGACGAAAAGGUUUCUACUAAUACUAGGAGCUCAUGACGGUACUGUAAGAAUAAGCACCGGCUAACUACGUGCCAGCCGCCGCCGUAA